UUGGGAAUAUUGCUCAAUGGGCGAAAGCCUGAAGCAGCAACGCCGCGUGAAGGAAGAAGGUCUUCAGAUUGUAAACUUUUGUUUUGUGGGAAGAUAAUGACGGUACCACAAGAGAAAGCCACGGCUAACUACGUGCCAGCAGCCGCGGUAAUACGUAGGUGGCAAGCGUUAUCCGGAUUUACUGGGUGUAAAGGGAGCGCAGGCGGGACUGCAAGUCAGAUGUGAAAUCUAUGGGCUCAACCCAUAAAUUGCAUUUGAAACUGCAGUUCUUGAGUGCAGGAGAGGUAAGCGGAAUUCCCGGUGUAGCGGUGAAAUGCGUAGAGAUCGGGAGGAACACCAGUGGCGAAGGCGGCUUACUGGACUGCAACUGACGCUGAGGCUCGAAAGUGUGGGUAGCAAACA
rnacentral:rRNA from 1 species